UGCGGUUUAAUUGGAUUCAACGCCGGAAAUCUUACCGGGACCGACAGCGAUAUGAAGGCCAGGCUGAAGACUUUGCCGGAUUAGCUGAGAGGUGGUGCAUGGCCGUCGUCAGUUCGUACUGUGAAGCAUCCUGUUAAGUCAGGCAACGAGCGAGACUCACGCCCACAGUUGCCAGCGUACUCUCCGGAGUGAUGGGUACACUGUGGGGACCGCCGCUGCUAAAGCGGAGGAAGGAAUGGGCAACGGUAGGUCAGUAUGCCCCGAAUAUCCCGGGCUACACGCGAGCUACAAUGGUUGGUACAAUGGGUAUCUACCCCGAGAGGGGAUGGCAAUCUCCUAAAACCAAUCUUAGUUCGGAUUGAGGGCUGCAACUCGCCCUCAUGAAGCUGGAAUCCGUAGUAAUCGCGUUUCAACAGAACGCGGUGAAUACGUCCCUGCUCCUUGCACACACCGCCCGUCAAACCACCCGAGUAGGGUCUGAAUGAGAGCGCUUACCAAUCGGAGGCGUUCGAAUUUGGGCUUUGCAAGGGGGGUUAAGUCGUAACAAGGUAACCAAGGGCGAAU
rnacentral:rRNA from 1 species